rnacentral:lncRNA from 1 species
GUACUGAGUUUAAAAAUAAGCUGGGGUUAUUUAUAUCUAAUAUGAUUUUCACUUAACAAGAAUUACUAAGGUGCUAGAAAAAAUAUAUGUAUAUAUAAUAUAGUUUAUGAAAUCUUAGUUAUAAAAUAGCCCUUUUUUCCUCCUAAAAAAUUAUAUUCUCUUCAACUUGGAUGCAAGACUCUAUUGUCUAUGCCUUUGAAUACUGCAAUUUUAGAGUGUUGAUUUUGACAUUUUAUUUUAAGGGAUAAGUGAGCAAUUUUUGUUAUCAUUAAAACUUAAAGAACUUGGAUCUUGUCACAAAAACAUCAAAUAAUAGGUAAUUUAAGAGUAAAAUACAAGAGAUUUUUGAGAGAUUGAGAGAGCCUUAGAAUGUGAAAGAAAUGUUAAAAUAGAGUUUUCACUUGGUCAUAGUUUCAAAGAAAUAAAAUCAGUUCUUAGGACUUAAUGAUUUUCUAAUAUAGGAAGUCAAAAGUAUGUAAAAUUUUAUGAGGAAACAAGCUAAUAUCUACUUCAGUUUUCAUUUAAAAAUAUUUUUAAAUAGAGACGUGAUCUCACCAACUUCAAUUUUCAUAAAGUACAAUUUUCAUAAAUCUUUUUCAAAUAGCCAGUGGACAUUUUUAAAGCAUUAAUGGGAAAAUGUCUAGCUCUUUUAUUUAUUUAUAGUUACAUUGGUAAAGCUUUUAUCAAGAAGUAAUACUGAGUUUACCAUUUUGAAUAGACUCUGUAUUUGCUUUUGAAAGAAGUAGUGAGAGAAUUGUAGAUAUUGAAUAACAAACUCCAGCUGCCUAACUGAAAAACUAAAUUCCUUAUAGACUAUCGUAAAGAAUCCACAAAAAACCUAUUAGAGGUAAUAAAUGAAUUUGGCAGUUGCAGGUACUAGAUCAACAGGCAAAAACCAGUUGCAUUUUUAUACUGUAGCAACAAGUGGCCUGAAAAAUGCAGUUAAGAGAUCAAUUUCAUUUACAAUAGCAUCAAAAGUCAUAAAACACUUAAGAAUAAAUUUAGCCAAGGAGCUGCAAGAUUUGUAUGCUGAAAACUGUAAAACAUUGCUGAAAGAAAUCAAAGUAAACCUACACACAUUGAAAGAUAUUCCAGGUUCAUAGAAUGGAAUACUAAAUACUGUUAAGAUGUAGGUAUCACCCAAAGCAAUAUGUAGAUUCAGUGCAAUCCCUAUCAAAAUGUCAGUGGUCUUUGUUGUAAAGAGGGAAAAGGUUAUCCUAAAAUUAAUAUGGAAUUACAAGAGGCUCUGAAUAGCCAAAACAGUCUGAAAAAGAACAAAGUUGUAAGACUCAGACUUUCCAAUUUUAAAAAUAAAUUGGACUACAUCAAAAACAAAAACUUUCGUACAUCAAAUAACAUAUCAAGAAUGUGAAAAAAGGGCUGGACGCAGUGGCUGAUGCCUGUAAUCUCAGCACUUUGG